rnacentral:rRNA from 1 species
UACGUAGGGUGCGAGCGUUAAUCGGAAUUACUGGGCGUAAAGCGUGCGCAGGCGGGCUUCUAAGCCAGACGUGAAAUCCCCGGGCUUAACCUGGGAAUGGCGUUUGGGACUGGAAGUCUGGAGUGCGGCAGAGGAGACUGGAAUUCCUGGUGUAGCAGUGAAAUGCGUAGAUAUCAGGAGGAACACCGAUGGCGAAGGCAGGUCUCUGGGCUGACACUGACGCUCAUGCACGAAAGCGUGGGGAGCAAACAGG